rnacentral:lncRNA from 1 species
GUUUGUUUUUGUUUUGUUUUGUGUUUUUUGUUUUGUGUUGUUUGUUUUUGUUUUGUGCUUUUGUGUUUUUGUUUUGUGUUUUGUGUUUUGUUUUGUGUUUUUGUGUUUUGUUUUCUUUUGUGUUUUUGUUUUGUGUUUUUGUGUUUUGUGUUUUUGUGUUUUUGUGUUUUGUGUUUUUGUGUUUUGUUUUGUGUUUGUUUUUGUUUUGUUUUGUGUUUUUGUGUUUUGUUUUGUUUUCCUGAUUGCUCUCUGAGCACUUUCUAAUCUUUCAGGAGAAGGAAGGAGAUCCGGUGUCCUUAUUACAUACAAGACUCAGGAACCCAUGUGGGAUGUCACCUGGAUAACCUGUCAGGAUUAACGUCUCGCAAUUACUUUCUGGUUAACGGAACCAGCCGAGAAAUUGGCAUCCAAUUCUUCGAUUCACUUUUGGACACAAAGAAAAUAGGUGAGAAUAACACAUAUGAUUUUCCUAUUGUUUAUAGGUGAAAUGGAAUCUGCCUUAAAAUCUGUGUAACUGAGGCCAGGUGUGGUGGCUCACACCUGUAAUCUCAGCACUUUGAGAGGCCGAGGCAGGCCGAUCACCUGAGAUUGGGAGUUUGAGACCAGCCUGACCAACUUGGGGA